AAAGUGAGUUUUGGCAGCAUCCAAGCAUCAUCUCUAGUUUCACCUUCGCAAGCACUGUCUUCUGGGAAUGGCAGGGAAGGGGACACUGAUGUCUGCUUUCUGUUCAGCUCUGCUCAGAACCCUGAAGGAAGGACUUUCAAUGGCUUUAUGUCUCCAACAACCUGUGUCAUACCCAGAUGAAUUCCACGACUGAUAAGUGCCACUUCUUCCUAAAACUUUACUCAGAUAUUCAUACACAAAGCUGGCUUAAGGCAUCUCGGAGGUGAAGGCAAAGUCGUGAUUCUCUGCUCUGAGGGUGAAGGCCAGGACAGGAAAGCCAUUGCUGCUGUAGGGAGAGAACCACCAAUGUGAGCCACCUUUCCUUCCUUCCUUCUCCAGGAAGAAAGUCUCUGAAGAAGCUGAAGUGAGGGAGGAUGAGUGAUUUUCUGAACUUCUGCAUAUUCAGUUACUGGUGCGUUCCUCCCUCUGACGGCUGCUCUGACCGGGCUCGUCCUUAUUCUGCCAUAUGGUCAACAGUGAUAAACGGUGAGGUCUCCAGAGGUGGUUCUGCUGAUAUCGUCAAUCCUUUCGAAGGUGUGAGCAUCUUCCCACACUGUCAGAUUUGAAUAUUUAACCCAGAGAAUGAACUUGAGUUGAAAUGCAACUCCUUUGGCAAUGGAAACUUCCUUUGAAGUUUUUGGAUCUCCUGCAUUCCAUGUUUCCUGUUUUAAAUUAAAAGAACAAAGCACUCUCGAAUAGCGCGCUGUAAACACCCUGCGAAGCCUGCGUCUCAGACAUCUGGCUGGCUGACGUGAGGAGCCAGACAGGAGGAGGAGGUUGGGGGCAUUCCAUUCAUCUUCCCAUCAAACAGCCCGCCCCAGGAAAAACUGUCACGAACAAGUAUGCCCUGACAGAAGUCUCCCACAGAAGAAAACAAUGAUUUUUGGUCAAGGAGAUCUAAGAGAGAAACUGACACUCAAGGGGGGGAGGGAAAGGAGAACAUCGUCUACACGUUUGGACAAAUUCAUCUUUCUGCCCGUCACUUCAUAUCCACGUCAAAGUCCAACACCAGCAGCUUUGUUUCCUCAGUCCCGUUGCGGCUCCCAACCGCACACACCAGCUUUGUGUUAGAAGCUCGGAUCCGCCACACGACGCCUCCGCUUCCCCCGCUCUCCAAUGUGACUAGAUUUCGGAUAAAUUCACCCGUUUUCAAGUCCCAAAGUUUUACAGUCCCAUCAUCUGAGCUGAUUUUGACUGUAGAAUCGGCAUUCCCAGACACGAGUAUAUUGUCCUUGAGCUCCAUCCCACUCGUCAGAGACUGGUGGCCUGUGAGCGUGUGAAUGCAGUUGCCCGUCUCCACAUCCCAAACUCGGAUGGAAGUGUCAAGAGAUCCACUCACCACAUGGAUACCAUCAAACUACAAGAAAGGAGAUGAUGAUGGGAGCUGGGGAAUGACGAUCGGUCAGCCUGACUUCAAUUUCCAGAAGGAGCGAACAAAUAAUCAAUCUGGUUGUAGGCCCAUAGCAAUGCGUCCUGCCAGAUUGUGGUGAGAACAGGCACAAGCAUGAAAUUAAUUUCUUUUGCCUUUCAACGCCUGGAAGUGAUGCUUUGACUCUGUGAAUGAACAAGAUGAUCCUUUGGGUUGGUAAAGGGAUAGUCUGGGUUGGCCAAAGGAGCAGAAGACACGCGGAAGCAGCGCCCCACUCACCUUGGGUGAUUUCAGCUCCCCUCGCCGCCAGUUGGUAUCGAUCCUGUGCUGCCUGAUAGAAGAUUAUCUUCAGCCAAAAUCCUCCAGUAACGACAUGUCUGGGCUGCCUGCAGAAGGUCCCUGGGUUCCAGGAAUGACAGCACGUACAGUGCCAGCUGCAAGAAAGAAAAGGAAAAUGUAUUUUCUGCAUUGCUUUUGAAAGGAAAAGUGAAGUAACUCCAAGUAUUAUCACACAUCAGGGGCUGAAACACAAAAAAUUGAAGCAAUAAAUUAUUAAACAAUCUCAAAUGUAACAGCAACAGUUUAUUCCAGCGGGCACAUGGAAGUGUAACAAUCAUCUUAAGUAACUAAAUCCAUACAGAUCACAUCAGAAAAGAUUCUUGUAUUUGCAAGAGAGUAGAUGUCAGCUGAAUUCACUAUUAUUUUUUUUUAAAUGUAAUCCACGUUACU